rnacentral:tRNA from 1 species
UUUUGAGUUAUAAAUUAUAAUACUUUUAGGGUAUAAAAGAGAUUUAAUAUCUCCUCAAAAC